UACCAGACUCCUACGGGAGGCAGCAGUGAGGAAUAUUGGUCAAUGGGCGAGAGCCUGAACCAGCCAAGUCGCGUGAGGGAGUACUGCCCUAUGGGUUGUAAACCUCUUUUGUCGGGGAGCAAAAGCCGGACGUGUCCGGCUGUGAGAGUACCCGAAGAAAAAGCAUCGGCUAACUCCGUGCCAGCAGCCGCGGUAAUACGGAGGAUGCGAGCGUUAUCCGGAUUUAUUGGGUUUAAAGGGUGCGCAGGCGGAUUUUUAAGUCAGCGGUCAAAUCGUGGGGCUCAACCCCAUCCAGCCGUUGAAACUGGGGAUCUAGAGUGUGCGAGAGGUAUGCGGAAUGCGUGGUGUAGCGGUGAAAUGCAUAGAUAUCACGCAGAACCCCGAUUGCGAAGGCAUCUGACGAAUCGGAGAUUGACGCUGAUGCACGAAAGCGUGGGUAUCGAACAGGAUUAGAUACCCCCGUAGC
rnacentral:rRNA from 1 species